AUUGAACGCUGGCGGCAGGCCUAACACAUGCAAGUCGAGCGGAUGACGGGAGCUUGCUCCUUGAUUCAGCGGCGGACGGGUGAGUAAUGCCUAGGAAUCUGCCUGGUAGUGGGGGACAACGUUUCGAAAGGAACGCUAAUACCGCAUACGUCCUACGGGAGAAAGCAGGGGACCUUCGGGCCUUGCGCUAUCAGAUGAGCCUAGGUCGGAUUAGCUAGUUGGUGGGGUAAUGGCUCACCAAGGCGACGAUCCGUAACUGGUCUGAGAGGAUGAUCAGUGACACUGGAAAUGAGACACGGUCCAGACUCCUACGGGAGGCAGCAGUGGGGAAUAUUGGACAAUGGGCGAAAGCCUGAUCCAGCCAUGCCGCGUGUGUGAAGAAGGUCUUCGGAUUGUAAAGCACUUUAAGUUGGGAGGAAGGGCAGUAAGUUAAUACCUUGCUGUUUUGACGUUACCGACAGAAUAAGCACCGGCUAACUCUGUGCCAGCCGCCGCGGUAAGAC
rnacentral:rRNA from 1 species